CAUGACAACGUCUAAACCCUGAAUAUAAGACGACCGCGUUUUUUCAGAUGUAUUUCCAAGAAAAAAGCAUCGUCUUAUAUUCGAGUCAAUACGGUAAUUUUCUGAUUUGCUCCUCAA